AGUAGGUGGGCUUCCGCCCUUGCAUCUGUGUUCCGGAUGUUUGGUUACCAGGCAACGUCUAGCGCCUGCCAGACACCUGUGAAGGGGUGCGGCCCCUGGUCCCCGAGCCUCGGUCCUGGACCUAAUCGGCGCCUGCGCAAAAUGUGCACAGGCAGGCGUUACCUGCGACCGGCCACCCGCAGAGAGUGGACGGGCGUGGCCGCCCAGUCAAACUCGCGGGUCCAGGCCGGGCAGCGCCUGCUGGGAACAGACUGUACCCCAGGCUCUAGAGGACCUCCCCAAGCUUUUGCUGCGUUCCUAGAGUAUGGUGCCCAUAGUUCUGGGACCGAGUAGGCUAUGCUGGGGAGGGGUCACCUGGCGGGUUGGGCAUACUUCAACAGGCAUUGGACUAGUGGAACAUAGGUAACAAGUGUCCUGUUUUAGUGUGUGGGGGGAGUAGGUGAUCGAGUCAGGGCCCUGGUCACUUAGCUGCCACACAUUUCUCAAGCUCCCACACAGACGUAGGAGAACAGCGAGCCUCCCAGCGUGCCGGAUAGCGGACUGCUUAGAGAACUCACUCCCCUCCCCAGGCCUCUAGAGGAAGGCUCUUACCCAACAUGCACCAGGAGCUAAUUUGCAUAACCCCAAGGUAAACCACACGGACCCACGCCGCCAGCGUGAUCCCCACUAAGCAGCAGGGGUUCAUGAGCAUAGCUACACAGUUUCACUGAAAAAACUUUUUCUUUGUUCCCGGGUUUACUGGGAGGCUAGGAGAAAAACGCGGGUCAAAGUCACCCUAACUUAAAAAGUCAGGAAUUCUUCGUCCUUAUAUAGUCCACGGCUAGACACUACGAUCGUGCUCGCUUCGGCAGCACAUAUACUAAAAUUGGAACGAUACAGAGAAGAUUAGCAUGGCCCCUGCGCAAGGAUGACACGCAAAUUCGUGAAGCGUUCCAUAUUUUGGCUCUGCUUACUAUGAACAGGUCAUUGGACCAAAUUCCAAACAAUAACUUUUGACUUCUCCCUCACAGCGUCUCCAAGUCAACCCAGCGCGUCAUUCUUAAAUCCUAUCCUAGCUUUUUACUACUGUAUCUGGCCCCUAGUGCUUGUUUUCAUCAACUAAAAUCUGCUGUUAUUAAAUUUGGGGAAUGCAUCAUUGGCCAGUGUUUCUUCCAGGCUACAUGCAGAGGGGCGCCUAGUGAGACAGAUCCUAAUGGCAGGCUGUUUUUUAGCUGUUACACACACUCGGGUCUACAAGCCGGAAGAGAAUGAACUAGCGACGCUCCUGCUGUUUCCCUAUUAGGGCUCAUCAAUUCAUCAAUGUAAAUUAAAAAAAAAAAAGAUUAAUAAAGAAAUUCAUAAACUAAAAAGUCUUCUAAGAGAAAAAUGUCAUUAUUCCCGGGGUGCUUGGGGUUUAGUAUUACCUACCUGUUACCGCGAAACUCCAUCUUAUAAAGAUAUAUACAAAGUUGCCAGCAUUGUAAACUAGAAUCUCAGUUUACACCCAAUGUACUUUAUUUAACACUACAGAGAGAUAACAAAAAUCGAGGUUGCAAAAUAUGGAACGCUUCACGAAUUUGCGUGUCAUCCUUGCGCAGGGGCCAUGCUAAUCUUCUCUGUAUCGUUCCAAUUUUAGUAUAUGUGCUGCCGAAGCGAGCACGAUCUUAAGGCCUAACCGUGGACUAUAUAAGGACUCAGAAAAUCAGAUUCUUUAACUUAGGGUGAUUUUAGUGCUUACGAUCCUCGAACUCCUCCGUGCACCCUAAAACGAAGGAGAAAUUUUUCAGCAGAACUGUGUGGCUAGACUCUUGAAAUCCCCCUGCUGCUGAGGGAAUUGCGCAGGCAGCGUGGGUCCGUGUGGUUUACCACGGGGGGGGGUAUGCAAAUUAGAGCCCGGUGCAUGUCGGGUAAUAGUCUUCCUCUGGAGGCCUAGGGAAGGUGGUGAGUUCGUGGCUCUCUCCCCGCGCGGCAUGCCGGGACUGCGGGCGGUGAAGCCUCAACUUCUGUGAGCCGGCAGACUCCGUACCGCACAGCUCUAGACUAGUUGGUUUCACCACUUAAACGUUCUAGGGAUAAGCACAUUGGAAACAGAAAGUAGGGAACAAACAAAAGUCCCUAACUACCCUACCAUUAGAAAGGAACAUCCUGUGCUCUGACACUCUUUAAAAGCAAGAACAAGAAAAAUGUAACAUCCACCGCAAGUUAUUUCCUGUUCAGGAAUUUUGCUCUCAUUUAAAAGAGAAGCGACUCAACCCAAAUCCUUACAUCCUCCUUGGCAGGAAGAGCUGAGUCAUCACCGCACCUAUGAUGGAUGUGCUUCAUCUCCUCUGACAUGGAUAAGCUCAAGCUUCCGAGACUGAGGUGAUCAGCCUGGAUUCCAGACAGGAUGCUGUUGAGUCCUAUGCUGGGAAUCUCAGUAGGUUGGCUGAAGAGAAGGUGAGGGCCUAGUACUAAGUCAUGCCAUGAUGUCGGUUGCUAGAAGUUGGGCUUCUUUCCUUAAUACAACGUGGAGCAGACAGUGAUGCCUUUGGGCUUCCUGGAGUGAAGGAUGAUUUUCCAUGAGCAGAAAAGGAUUUGUCUUCGAAUCCUGCUACUGUAAACUCUGAGAUAAGUAAAUGGAAACAGAUACAAGUCUUGAGAAUAAAUCCGACUGCUUACAUAGCAUGUAUGUUAACCUCUUCUUUUUGGCAGGUAGGAAAGGAUCAUCGAGCUGAUACACCCCAUCUCCUUGCCUACAAGCAGGACCUUCACUCAAGGAGGAGCCAAGAAGCAGAUGAUGAAACAGCCUGUUUAAGAUUCUGAGAGAUUGAGUGUUGAUACAACCUGGAAUGUGAAGAAAUUCUGCCAACAUAUGGGUUUGGACAGAGUUUCUGAACAACCGGAAGCCAUCAGAAUCUCAGAGAUUGGAGUCUUAUGGACACACACAGAAGUUGUACCCUCAAGGCCACAUGAAGAAGCAGGUGACCAGAUAGAACUUGGCCUGUUAACAAAGUCAUGCCAAGUUGUAUUACCUGGAAUUCUUCCCUUCUCUUCAGUCUUCCUUGUAUUAAAGAGCUGAUGGCAUCUCAACAUCACUUACAUCUUAAAAUCCCAGUUUCAACAACAACGGGAACUGUGAAUUCCCUAGGAAGAUUAGGAAGAAGACAAAUACGGAAGCUGCACCUUUAUUUCCCCGGGUCACAGUCUUCUGUUAGUGACCCCAUAUGUGUUUCUUUCCCUGUGGGGUUUAGUCCUGCCAUCCCACUUGUCUUUCGAAAUACCUACUAAACUGAGUGGCUAGAGUAAGUAUGCUUCCAUCUUAACAUGGGAGGAGGUGUUUUCUUGUCUCUCUUUCCCUCAGUCAUGGAUCUUCUGGCCAUACGGAAGCAUAAAUGUCAACAACUUUCUGUA